GGGGUGGCAGCCGUUGGAAUUCAAAAGUGGCGGGUGUGGCGUCGUGUUGGUGGCCUCCGGAACCUAGAGCGCUGGUGCUGUGUUGCGAGCGGGCGAGAGAACGCGGGUCUGGGGAGUCCCGGCUCCCGGUCCUCAUCCAUUGCGCACCCCCCCACCCCGGCACGUGUGGCACGGAGCUGGACAUGGAGCCGCAAAGGUCCCCUUUGUUGGAAGUGAAGGGAAACAUAGAAUCGAAGAGACCCCUGGUCAAGGCUCCUUCCCGACUGCCUCUCCCAGGAAGCAGAUUGAAGAGGGGGCCUGACCAGAUGGAGGAUGCCUUGGAGCCUAAGAAG